UGGGGAAUAUUGCACAAUGGGGGAAACCCUGAUGCAGCAACGCCGCGUGAGUGAAGAAGUAUUUCGGUAUGUAAAGCUCUAUCAGCAGGGAAGAAAAUGACGGUACCUGAGUAAGAAGCCCCGGCUAACUACGUGCCAGCAGCCGCGGUAAUACGUAGGGGCAAGCGUUAUCCGGAUUUACUGGGUGUAAAGGGAGCGUAGACGGCGAGGCAAGUCUGAUGUGAAAGCCUGGGGCUUAACCCGGAACUGCAUUGGAAACUGCUUUGCUGGAAUGCCGGAGAGGUAAGCGGAAUUCCUAGUGUAGCGGUGAAAUGCGUAGAUAUUAGGAGGAACACCAGUGGCGAAGGCGGCUUACUGGACGAUAACUGACGCUGAGGCUCGAAAGCGUGGGGAGCAAACAGGAUUAGAUACCCUGGUAGU
rnacentral:rRNA from 1 species